rnacentral:rRNA from 1 species
UACGUAGGGGGCAAGCGUUGUCCGGAUUUAUUGGGCGUAAAGAGCGUGUAGGCGGCCAAGCAGGUCCGCUGUGAAAACUCGAGGCUCAACCUCGGGACGUCGGUGGAAACCGUUUGGCUAGAGUCCGGAAGAGGAGAGUGGAAUUCCUGGUGUAGCGGUGAAAUGCGCAGAUAUCAGGAAGAACACCAAUGGCGAAGGCAGCUCUCUGGGACGGUACUGACGCUGAGACGCGAAAGCGUGGGGAGCGAACAGG